rnacentral:rRNA from 1 species
UGUGCUAAUACCGCAUAAUCUCUGAGGAGAAAAGCAGGGGAUCGCAAGACCUUGCGCUUUUGGAGCGGCCGAUGUCUGAUUAGCUUGUUGGUGAGGUAAAAGCUUACCAAGGCUUCGAUCAGUAGCUGGUCUGAGAGGACGACCAGCCACACUGGGACUGAGACACGGCCCAGACUCCUACGGGAGGCAGCAGUGGGGAAUUUUGGACAAUGGGGGCAACCCUGAUCCAGCCAUGCCGCGUGAGUGAAGAAGGCCUUCGGGUUGUAAAGCUCUUUCAGCCGGAACGAAACGGUUACGGUUAAUACCCGUGACUACUGACGGUACCGGAAGAAGAAGCACCGGCUAACUACGUGCCAGCAGCCGCGGUAAUACGUAGGGUGCGAGCGUUAAUCGGAAUUACUGGGCGUAAAGCGUGCGCAGGUGGUUUUGUAAGUCAGAUGUGAAAUCCCCGGGCUCAACCUGGGAACUGCGUUUGAAACUACAAGGCUAGAGUGUGGCAGAGGGGGGUGGAAUUCCGCGUGUAGCAGUGAAAUGCGUAGAGAUGUGGAGGAACACCGAUGGCGAAGGCAGCCCCCUGGGUCAACACUGACGCUCAGGCACGAAAGCAUGGGGAGCAAACAGGAUUAGAUACCCUGGUAGUCCAUGCCCUAAACGAUGUCAACUAGUUGUCGGGCCUUAACGGGCUUGGUAACGUAGCUAACGCGUGAAGUUGACCGCCUGGGGAGUACGAUCGCAAGAUUAAAACUCAAAGGAAUUGACGGGGACCCGCACAAGCGGUGGAUUAUGUGGAUUAAUUCGAUGCAACGCGAAAAACCUUACCUACCCUUGACAUGUAUCGAAGCCCGCAGAAAAGUGGGUGUGCCCGAAAGGGAACGAUAACACAGGUGCUGCAUGGCUGUCGUCAGCUCGUGUCGUGAGAUGUUGGGUUAAGUCCCGCAACGAGCGCAACCCUUGUCAUUAAUUGCCAUCAUUUAGUUGGGCACUUUAAUGAGACUGCCGGUGACAAACCGGAGGAAGGUGGGGAUGACGUCAAGUCCUCAUGGCCCUUAUGGGUAGGGCUUCACACGUAA